rnacentral:pre_miRNA from 1 species
GGAAACUGACUAGCCCGAAGUAACUUCCCGUUUCUACACGUGGCAGAGAAGCAUGAUUCUGAGAUAAACCCCUUAGUUCAAAUUAACUGGAGGUUUAACAGUUAAUUCAAACUAAGGGGUUCAUCUCGGAAUCGUGCUUCUCUGCCACGUGUAGAAACGGGCAGUUACUUCGGUCUAGUCAGUUUCC